GGGAUUGAAUUGGAUUCAACCUCAGUUACGGGUUCGAGGCAAAAGAGAAGUAAUUCAGGUAUGUUUAUUGAUUACAGACUUUUAUUUAUUCAUCCUAAAAUUAGUUUAUGUUAAUUUUAGCAUAUGAACUAGAUCCAUAGGUACUUUCAUAUGAUAAAUACAUGCUUAGAUUAAAAAUAUUUUAAUCUGAUUUUUUUACUGUAUUUUGAAUUUAAAAAAAUUUUGAAAUCCACAUGUUCUAGCAUCUGUAAAAAAUGCAACAUCAUCAUCCUUUCUCU
rnacentral:lncRNA from 1 species